rnacentral:rRNA from 1 species
GGACGAACGCUGGCGGCGUGCUUAACACAUGCAAGUCGAGCGGUAAGGCCCUUUUGGGGGUACACGAGCGGCGAACGGGUGAGUAACACGUGGGUGACCUGCCUUCAGCUUCGGGAUAAGCUUGGGAAACUGGGUCUAAUACCGGAUAUGACUUGGCCUCGCAUGGGGUUGGGUGGAAAGUUUUUUCGGCUGGAGAUGGGCCCGCGGCCUAUCAGCUUGUUGGUGGGGUGAUGGCCUACCAAGGCGACGACGGGUAGCCGGCCUGAGAGGCGACCGGCCACACUGGGACUGAGAUACGGCCCAGACUCCUACGGGAGGCAGCAGUGGGAAUCUUGCGCAAUGGCGAAGCCUGACGCAGCGACGCCGCGUGGGGGA